rnacentral:lncRNA from 1 species
ACUUCCGGUUUUCCUGAAAGCUUGCACUUCCCGUCUCGCGCUCGUGGGAGGGGCGUAGUUUGCUGUUCUGGCUUCUUUCUGAGAGCUGGUUGAAAGUGGGCGUUUGUCCAAGUUUGGGUGUUUUUUUGUGGCCACUGUAGUUGUCCUAGUCAUAUCUCGAGAAAAACGAACACUUUUCCCGCCUUCCUUUUGCAAAUUCAUUCAUUCACUAUUGAGCGCCUACGCCUUGUCAAACACGGUGCUGGGAAUGGGGAUGAAUCAGUCUGUGAGCAAGGAGUUUCCAGUAGCGUUGACCAGACAGGACAAACUUAUGAGUGUGUAAAGGAUAAAGGCUAGGAAAUUAAGGCGGAUUAAGGAUUUCAGAAGCCUUUUUGAAGGAAAAGAACUGAGUAAUCCAGACUUGGGGAAAGAAGUGCUAUCCAAUAAUAGAAUUUGAUGUCUUUGAGAUGGUUUGCGAUUGGAUAAAACCACACAAAUAUGGGCAGAGGUGAAAUACUCCCUGAAGGAAAUGAAUUAUACCACUGUCAGUCUUCCUAAAAAGAGAUCAGAUCCUGGAGCCAGAGAUAAGCUUAAUACUAACUUGUCCACAAAAACUUCAGUGACCUUUCCUGUUCCUGAUCCUAUAUGACAACUACAUUUUAAAAAUUAACUUAAAAGCAUAUGAACAGCAGGAACUCCCCACCCAACCCAAGGAUUAGAACAUUAUCAAUAAAUGAGGUUUCUCUAUGAGCGCCCUCCCCCACGUAGUCCCCAUGCCACUCUCCAGAAUUUCGUGUUUAACAGUCCCUUGGGGUUUUUGUUGUUUUUUUCUU